UACGUAGGGGGCGAGCGUUGUCCGGAUUUAUUGGGCGUAAAGAGCGUGUAGGCGGCCAGGUAGGUCUGCUGUGAAAGCUCGAGGCUCAACCUCGAGACGUCGGCGGAAACCAUCUGGCUAGAGUCCGGAAGAGGAGAGUGGAAUUCCUGGUGUAGCGGUGAAAUGCGCAGAUAUCAGGAAGAACACCCGUGGCGAAGGCGGCUCUCUGGGACGGUACUGACGCUGAGACGCGAAAGCGUGGGGAGCGAACAGG
rnacentral:rRNA from 1 species